UUUGACAGAAGGAGCUCUGUGUCCUUGCAGUGGCAGGGCUGUAAGCAGGUAUCACGGUGGAGCUGUCACAGCAUGGGCAAGUACAGGUCAGAUAUGGAGAAGGAAGGAGAAGUGAAUGCCUAUGACAGGGAGCCUGGUUGCUUUUGACAAGAAGGAAAACAUAGAUCUCCCAAUUAACAGUGCAGUUGAAGAACGGUAUCACCUAAAAUCUUCCUGCAUAUAAAUGACUCUUUUUCAGAAAUGCAAAUGGAUUGAAUCUUACAGCUGUACUGAGGCAGCUCCAGGUAAUACGUGAUCAGAUUUUCUCACUCUUUGGCACUCCUUGAGAUGAGCAGGGCUCUGAUAAGGACGAAGCGGUUGUGUGAGUCAG
rnacentral:lncRNA from 1 species